rnacentral:misc_RNA from 1 species
UCUCCGUUGGUGAACCAGCGGAGGGAUCAUUACAGAGUUGCAAAACUCCCAAACCAUUGUGAACGUUACCUAUCCCGUUGCUUCGGCGGGCGGCCCGGGCCCCGCGCCCGGCGCCCCCCGGCCCCCCGUGGGCGCCCGCCGAAGGUAAACCAAACCCUUGAAUUGCAUGGCCUCUCUGAGUCUUCUGUACUGAAUAAGUCAAAACUUUCAACAACGGAUCUCUUGGUUCUG